UCGGGGCCGGAAGCGCUCCCGAGCCCGCGCGCGCGCUCUCGCGUGUCCAGGCGCCCGAGAAGUGCCCCCAACUCCUUCCCUGCUGCGCGCGUGCGCGCGCUCGUUCCUGGGCCCCGGUCCGAGAGUUCCUCGACGGCCGCGCGCGCCGCUCAGCCAGGUCCCCGCCCCCAGCACGCGGGCUCCCGGGGCACCUCAGCCAUGUGCUCGCGAGCGUCGGGCGCUACCGGCUGCCGGGGCGCCGUGGAGGACGAGGAGGACCUGCCGGACCUGUCAGACAGUGGGGACGAGGCCGCCUGGGAGGACGAGGACGAUGCUGAGCUCCCCCACGACAAGCAGCAGACGCCCUGCCUGUUCUGUGACAGGUUAUUUACAUCUGCUGAAGAAACAUUUUCGCACUGUAAGUCUGAGCAUCAAUUUAAUAUCGAUACCAUGGUCCAUAAACAUGGACUUGAAUUCUAUGGAUACAUUAAACUAAUAAAUUUUAUUAGGCUUAAGAAUCCUACAGUUGAGUAUAUGAAUUCCAUAUGUAAUCCAGUGCCUUGGGAAAAAGAAGAGUAUUUGAAGCCAGUAUUAGAAGAUGACCUUUUACUUCAGUUUGAUGUAGAAGAUCUUUAUGAACCAGUGUCAGUCCCAUUCUCAUUCCCCAAUGGACUCAGUGAAAAUACCUCUGUUGUUGAAAAAUUGAAACAUAUGGAAGCCAGGGCACUGUCUGCUGAAGCUGCAUUAGCUAAAGCGCGUGAGGAUCUUCAAAGAAUGAGACAAUUUGCUCAGGAUUUUGUGAUGAACGCAGAUGUCAGAACCUGGUCGGCAUCUACUACUGCCAUUGCAGACCUUCAGGAGGAUGAGGAUGGUGUUUAUUUCAGCUCAUACGGGCAUUAUGGGAUACAUGAAGAAAUGCUAAAGGACAAAAUACGAACAGAAAGUUACCGAGAUUUUAUAUACCAAAAUCCACAUAUCUUCAAAGACAAAGUAGUUUUGGAUGUUGGUUGUGGAACUGGAAUUCUCUCUAUGUUUGCUGCUAAAGCUGGGGCAAAGAAGGUUCUUGGAGUUGAUCAAUCUGAAAUCCUUUACCAGGCAAUGGAUAUCAUAAGACUAAAUAAACUUGAAGAUACUAUCAUACUAAUUAAAGGAAAGAUUGAAGAAGUUCAUCUUCCUGUAGAAAAAGUGGAUGUUAUUAUAUCUGAGUGGAUGGGUUAUUUUCUUCUUUUCGAAUCUAUGUUAGAUUCUGUUCUUUAUGCAAAGAACAAAUACUUGACAAAAGGAGGAUCAGGUUCAGCUCCUUCAUCAUCUCUCUCUGGAGAAGCUGGAGGAGGGAACGGAGGAAACGUUUCAUCUUCUACGUGCUCAUCAUCUGUCUACCCUGAUAUUUGCACUAUCAGCCUUGUGGCAGUAAGUGAUGUGAAUAAACAUGCUGAUAGAAUUGCUUUUUGGGAUGAUGUCUAUGGCUUCAACAUGUCCUGCAUGAAGAAAGCAGUUAUUCCAGAAGCUGUUGUGGAAAUUUUAGAUCCAAAGACUCUUAUUUCAGACGCUUACAGUAUUAAGCAUAUAGAUUGCCAUAAAACGUCUGUCUCAGAUUUGGAGUUUUCUUCAGAUUUUACCCUGAAAAUCACAAAGACAUCCUUGUGCACGCCACGAUGUGGAGACAACCUAAGUGUCAAACAGAUGAGUGGAUAAAGAUGUGGCAUAUAGAUGGAAUGGAAUAUUCAGCCAUAAAAAGAAGGAAAUCCUGCUUUUGUGACAACUAGGAUGGACUUUGAAGUGAUUCUGCUGCAUGGAUUACAAGCACUCUGUCUCCAUGCUUGGAUAAACUCCAUCAAAAGCACAUUAUCCUCCUACUUCUGUGGACAGCUGCCUAAUUGUAUCUGCUGUAACCACACGCUGUUGGAACAUGAUACCAAUGAAGAACAGAAAUGAUAAAUUACUCCCUGCAGGUGAAUCCUUGAAAGGAAAGAUCACGGUCCAGAAGAAUAAGAAAGAUCCACGUUCUCUCAUUGUGACCCUGACAUUGAAUAAUUCAACUCAAACUUAUGGUCUCCAGUGAAAAAGCCAUGAAAGCACAACUAACUUUCCGGGUUUUUUUUGUGGGGGUGGGAGCGUUGUGGAUGUAGGGGGAGCAGUUUUAUGUGAGCACAUGGAUGAUUGAUCCUUUCCUAAUGAGUCUCCUCAGUAGAAUUGUGGCAGGAAUCCAAUGUAAUACAGCCAAGGAAGGGAAUCCACUGGUCCUAGUGAUCCACCUACAUAACCACAUUCUUGGAAGUCUAGUUGGUGAGAUUUAACCAAACCAAAUGACCCCUACAUUAAGUUUAGCUUUAUUGAAAAUCAUUUAAAUUGGCCUACAUAUGGAACAGACAUGGUCUUUGUUAUUGUUUAGUUUCCUAUUAUAAAUUUUAAACAGUACUUAGUUGUUAUUUGGGUAAUGUUUUAUUAAACCAGUAACUACACACAAGGCAUUGCACAUUUUAUUGCAGAUUUCCUCUCUGAGGAGGAGUAUUUGUUAGAAUAUCAGUAUAUAAUAGAUUCAAGACAAGUGUAAGGGACUAAAAUAUGGAAAAGCGCAUCACACAAAUCAUAUGAUUAUUUUGUAGUGCUGUAGUUUUCAUUUUGUAGCUUUGCAAAUAUUCUUUAGCCAUUUACUUUUCUAGCAUUGCCCAGGAAAUCUAAUUUCAAUAUGUUUAUUAUAGGUUUCACAAAAGUUUUUAAAGUUUGGGAUAAAUGUGUACUUAUUUACUAACAUAAUGCCUUCUUCAAACUAAAUUUUUGUGCAAAGCUAAAUGUGUAACUGUUGAUCUAUCACUCUUUACAAUUGUGUCAUUUAUCGUUGACUCAGUUUGAAACGCAGAAUAGAAAACAUUUAAUAAAAUGUAUACAACAGCCAUUAGCAUUAUAAAAUGACAUUUCAAAAUAUUAAGGCCUUUUAUAAAAUCAGAAGCAUAAAAAUUUUAUUAAAGUACUUGACAUACAAUAUUACAUUAGUUUCAGAAGGUGUGCAAUAUAGUGAUGCAACAUUUAUUAUAAACAUAAAAUGAUCCUCACAA